UCCUACGGGAGGCAGCAGUGAGGAAUAUUGGUCAAUGGGCGAGAGCCUGAACCAGCCAAGUCGCGUGAGGGAAGACGGCCCUACGGGUUGUAAACCUCUUUUGUCAGGGAGCAAGAACGGAUACGUGUAUCCGAGCGAGAGUACCUGAAGAAAAAGCAUCGGCUAACUCCGUGCCAGCAGCCGCGGUAAUACGUAGGGGGCAAGCGUUAUCCGGAUUUACUGGGUGUAAAGGGAGCGUAGGCGGUUUAGCAAGUCAGAAGUGAAAGCCCGGGGCCCAACUCCGGGACUGCUUUUGAAACUGUUGA
rnacentral:rRNA from 1 species